rnacentral:rRNA from 1 species
GAUGAACGCUGGCGGCGUGCCUAAUACAUGCAAGUCGAGCGAACAGACGAGGAGCUUGCUCCUCUGAUGUUAGCGGCGGACGGGUGAGUAACACGUGGAUAACCUACCUAUAAGACUGGGAUAACUUCGGGAAACCGGAGCUAAUACCGGAUAACAUGUUGAACCGCAUGGUUCAACAGUGAAAGACGGUCUUGCUGUCACUUAUAGAUGGAUCCGCGCCGCAUUAGCUAGUUGGUAAGGUAACGGCUUACCAAGGCAACGAUGCGUAGCCGACCUGAGAGGGUGAUCGGCCACACUGGAACUGAGACACGGUCCAGACUCCUACGGGAGGCAGCAGUAGGGAAUCUUCCGCAAUGGGCGAAAGCCUGACGGAGCAACGCCGCGUGAGUGAAGAAGGUCUUCGGAUCGUAAAACUCUGUUAUUAGGGAAGAACAAAUGUGUAAGUAACUAUGCACGUCUUGACGGUACCUAAUCAGAGAGCCACGGCUAACUACGUG